rnacentral:rRNA from 1 species
CUACGGGUGGCUCCAGUGAGGAAUAUUGCACAAUGGGGGGAACCCUGAUGCAGCAACGCCGCGUGGAGGAUGACGCAUUUCGGUGUGUAAACUCCUUUUAUAUGUCAAGAAAAUGACGGUAGCAUAUGAAUAAGCACCGGCUAACUCCGUGCCAGCAGCCGCGGUAAUACGGAGGGUGCAAGCGUUACUCGGAAUCACUGGGCGUAAAGGACGCGUAGGCGGGUUGGAAAGUCAGGUGUGAAAUCCUACAGCUUAACUGUAGAACUGCACUUGAAACUUCUAAUCUAGAGUAUGGGAGGGGGAGAUGGAAUUAGUGGUGUAGGGGUAAAAUCCGUAGAUAUCACUAGGAAUACCUAAAGCGAAGGCGAUCUCCUGGAACAUUACUGACGCCAAGGCGUGAAAGCGUGGGGAGCAAACAGGAUUAAUACCCUCGUAGUC